rnacentral:tRNA from 1 species
GCCUGGGUGGCUCAGUCGGUUGAGCGUCCGACUUCGGCUCAGGUCAUGAUCUCACAGUCCGUGGGUUCGAGCCCUGCAUCGGGCU